AACGAACGCUGGCGGCAUGCCUAACACAUGCAAGUCGAACGAGACCUUCGGGUCUAGUGGCGCACGGGUGCGUAACGCGUGGGAAUCUGCCCUUGGGUUCGGAAUAACAGUUGGAAACGACUGCUAAUACCGGAUGAUGACGUAAGUCCAAAGAUUUAUCGCCCAGGGAUGAGCCCGCGUAGGAUUAGCUAGUUGGUGGGGUAAAGGCCUACCAAGGCGACGAUCCUUAGCUGGUCUGAGAGGAUGAUCAGCCACACUGGGACUGAGACACGGCCCAGACUGCUACGGGAGGCAGCAGUGGGGAAUACUGGACAAUGGGCGAAAGCCUGAUCCAGCCAUGCCGCGUGAGUGAUGAAGGCCUUAGGGUUGUAAAGCUCUUUUACCCGGGAUGAUAAUGACAGUACCGGGAGAAUAAGCCCCGGCUAACUCCGUG
rnacentral:rRNA from 1 species